rnacentral:lncRNA from 1 species
UUUUUUUUUUUACAAGUGUAAUAAGGUUUUAUUAAGUAAUUAAGGGGACACGCCACAAAGUAGAAGCAUGCAACCCAACAGAAAGGGAUCUGGGAUUUCGAGGGGCGGGGGUGGAUGCGCAAAUCAGUCACAAAACCGACCACUUCCUCACCCAAACGACAAUAAGGUCCUGUCAGAAACGGAGGUAGCAAGUCUGACAGGGCUGUUUGUUACUCCUGGGUUUUGUAGUGAUUUCCAUGGAGCUUUCAAUACCCAGCCAUACACUCAGGAUCGAGACUUCAUAGUGGAUGCCGCUAACCCCAACAAGAUGGCUACGACCGUGAAACCCUGGGCAGCGAUCCGGGUGCGCAUCAUUAGUUGGGAUCGGUGGCUCUGGCCGCGGUGGAAGCAGUAAAGGCCAUAGGUUAGGGCAGCCGCCGUACCCAGACAGCCUAUAGGCACCAUUGGGUUCUCACGGGUCUUGCGAAUAAACUUUUCCUUGAAGCCCUCUGGAUUGGUGUAGACCGUGGGGCUGAAGCCCUCGAUAACUGGGGCCUUGGACGGAUCAAAAGGCGCCUCUGGACUCACAGGACCGGGAGCCACCAUACCGACCCGCACAAAACAAGGUAGGAC